UUACCUCUUAUCCAUUCUUGUCCUAUUCAUACCUUCCAUUCUUGUGCUUCUUCUUCUGCUUCUCAUUUACCUCUCAUUUCUCUAUCUUCAUAUUCUCCCUCUUUUCCGUCUUUCUUUUAUUUUGGCAGUUCCAGUGUGUGAUGGAUGAAAUGGCCUGGGAGCUGAAGGAAGUCAGUUCCAAAAUCUGUUGUACAACUUGACGCAGACUCUGCUACCACUAGAAUUGUUCUGAUAGAACCAACAGCUUAACUGGGGAUCCAAACAACUGUGAUGGCAUGGUAGACUUUGUGUACAGUCUUUGUCAGAGGAAUACUCCAUGGAAUUCUCUGCAGAGAAAGUCUGUUGGUUGCUACAUCAAUGGGAUUCCUGCCUGAGUGCCCAUG